GGACUAGUCGAACGGUGAAGGUGGGAGCUUGCUUCUGCUGGAUCAGUGGCGAACGGGUGAGUAACACGUGAGUAACCUGCCCUUGACUCUGGGAUAAGCGUUGGAAACGACGUCUAAUACCGGAUACGCGCUUCAGCCGCAUGGCUAGGAGUGGGAAAGAUUUUUUGGUCAAGGAUGGACUCGCGGCCUAUCAGCUUGUUGGUGAGGUAAUGGCUCACCAAGGCGACGACGGGUAGCCGGCCUGAGAGGGUGACCGGCCACACUGGGACUGAGACACGGCCCAGACUCCUACGGGAGGCAGCAGUGGGGAAUAUUGCACAAUGGGCGCAAGCCUGAUGCAGCAACGCCGCGUGAGGGACGACGGCCUUCGGGUUGUAAACCUCUUUUAGCAGGGAAGAAGCGCAAGUGACGGUACCUGCAGAAAAAGCACCGGCUAACUACGUGCCAGCAGCCGCGGUAAUACGUAGGGUGCAAGCGUUGUCCGGAAUUAUUGGGCGUAAAGAGCUCGUAGGCGGUUUGUCGCGUCUGCUGUGAAAACGCGAGGCUCAACCUCGCGCCUGCAGUGGGUACGGGCAGACUAGAGUGCGGUAGGGGAGAUUGGAAUUCCUGGUGUAGCGGUGGAAUGCGCAGAUAUCAGGAGGAACACCGAUGGCGAAGGCAGAUCUCUGGGCCGUAACUGACGCUGAGGAGCGAAAGCGUGGGGAGCGAACAGGAUUAGAUACCCUGGUAGUCCACGCCGUAAACGUUGGGAACUAGAUGUAGGGGCCAUUCCACGGUUUCUGUGUCGCAGCUAACGCAUUAAGUUCCCCGCCUGGGGAGUACGGUCGCAAGACUAAAACUCAAA
rnacentral:rRNA from 1 species